UCCUACGGGGCGCAGCAGUGGGGAAUAUUGGGCAAUGGGCGCAAGCCUGACCCAGCAACGCCGCGUGAAGGAAGAAGGCUUUCGGGUUGUAAACUUCUUUUAACAGGGAAGAGCAGAAGACGGUACCUGUCGAAUAAGCCACGGCUAACUACGUGCCAGCAGCCGCGGUAAUACGUAGGUGGCAAGCGUUGUCCGGAUUUACUGGGUGUAAAGGGCGUGUAGCCGGGCUGACAAGUCAGAUGUGAAAUCCGGGGGCUCAAC
rnacentral:rRNA from 1 species